rnacentral:rRNA from 1 species
UACGUAGGGUGCAAGCGUUAAUCGGAAUUACUGGGCGUAAAGCGUGCGCAGGCGGUUAUGUAAGACAGUUGUGAAAUCCCCGGGCUCAACCUGGGAAUUGCAUCUGUGACUGCAUCGCUGGAGUACGGUAGAGGGGGAUGGAAUUCCGCGUGUAGCAGUGAAAUGCGUAGAUAUGCGGAGGAACACCGAUGGCGAAGGCAAUCCCCUGGACCUGUACUGACGCUCAUGCACGAAAGCGUGGGGAGCAAACAGG